UGGGGAAUUUUGGACAAUGGGCGAAAGCCUGAUCCAGCAAUGCCGCGUGUGUGAAGAAGGCCUUCGGGUUGUAAAGCACUUUUGUCCGGAAAGAAAUCCUUGGCUCUAAUACAGUCGGGGGAUGACGGUACCGGAAGAAUAAGCACCGGCUAACUACGUGCCAGCAGCCGCGGUAAUACGUAGGGUGCAAGCGUUAAUCGGAAUUACUGGGCGUAAAGCGUGCGCAGGCGGUUUGCUAAGACCGAUGUGAAAUCCCCGGGCUCAACCUGGGAACUGCAUUGGUGACUGGCAGGCUAGAGUAUGGCAGAGGGGGGUAGAAUUCCACGUGUAGCAGUGAAAUGCGUAGAGAUGUGGAGGAAUACCGAUGGCGAAGGCAGCCCCCUGGGCCAAUACUGACGCUCACGCACGAAAGCGUGGGGAGCAAACAGGAUUAGAUACCCUGGUAGUCCACGCCCUAAACGAUGUCAACUAGUUGUUGGGGAUUCAUUUUCCUUAGUAACGUAGCUAACGCGUGAAGUUGACCGCCUGGGGAGUACGGUCGCAAGAUUAAAACUCAAAGGAAUUGACGGGGUCAUA
rnacentral:rRNA from 1 species